rnacentral:lncRNA from 1 species
AUUUGUGCAGUUAGGAAAACUAGAUGGCGGUGCCGUUCCUCUGGAUUGAGUAUGCUGGUUACAUGGAAGCAUGAAGUUCAUGGAUGGUGCAAGUUAAAUCGGUGUUAGCAGUGUUUCUUAAGUUUGCUGUGUUUUAAAGGAUUGUUCGUCUUAAAAUCAACGCUAAUCGAACUGCAGACCCUGAGAAUAGUGAGCUAUCCAUGUCUCUGUUUUCCAGCAUGCCAUACCUCACAGAAAAACUUCCUAUUUCAUUUUAGCCUACCAUCAAAUGGAAUAGCAUGAUUAUUUAUACAAUGAUCAUUUCUAUGAAGCCAAAUGCCUGUGGAUUCUGACGCUGAAGAUCUACAAUGACCAAAAUUCCUUAGAAUGUCUUCAUGUAUACAUGUACUAUGUUUUGCUGUCUGUCAACCAACAUCAACCCAUUCAGCCAGUAUUCUCUGCUUGUCAACUUAGCCAACAAUCAACCAUCAGUAUUGAAUGCAUCCACUCCUAAAACCUUCACUACUCAAACAACUAUCUUCCGUAGACUUCAACACCCAAUCAAGAUCUUUUUAAAACUUUUUCAUCGGAUCCCAUUUCGACCAGUGCCGCAGUCUUCGUGAUCGUAACCGGUCAACAUGCAUAGACUUAAAUGCCAUCGCCUCAUUGUGAGCUGCCAAUUGUUCAUCAUCUUUUCCAACCAAAAAUCGCCGUUCUAAUACAAAUCAUCCAGUCAUGCGUCGCUACAGAAUUUACCACGUGACGUCUACUUUUACUGAUACAUGGCAGCGUGGAAGAUUCUUGGACU